UAGGGAAUCUUCGGCAAUGGACGAAAGUCUGACCGAGCAACGCCGCGUGAGUGAAGAAGGUUUUCGGAUCGUAAAACUCUGUUGUUAGAGAAGAACAAGGACGUUAGUAACUGAACGUCCCCUGACGGUAUCUAACCAGAAAGCCACGGCUAACUACGUGCCAGCAGCCGCGGUAAUACGUAGGUGGCAAGCGUUGUCCGGAUUUAUUGGGCGUAAAGCGAGCGCAGGCGGUUUCUUAAGUCUGAUGUGAAAGCCCCCGGCUCAACCGGGGAGGGUCAUUGGAAACUGGGAGAAUUGAGUGCAGAAGAGGAGAGUGGAAUUCCAUGUGUAGCGGUGAAAUGCGUAGAUAUAUGGAGGAACACCAGUGGCGAAGGCGGAUCUCUGGUCUGUAACUGACGCUGAGGCUCGAAAGCGUGGGGAGCAAACAGG
rnacentral:rRNA from 1 species